rnacentral:rRNA from 1 species
UACGUAGGGAGCAAGCGUUGUCCGGAAUCAUUGGGCGUAAAGCGCGCGUAGGUGGCCUCAUAAGUCCGCUGUGAAAGUCAAAGGCUCAACCUUUGAAAGCCGGUGGAUACUGUGAGGCUAGAGUACGGAAGAGGCGAGUGGAAUUCCUGGCGUAGCGGUGGAAUGCGCAGAUAUCAGGAGGAACACCAAUAGCGAAGGCAGCUCGCUGGGACGUUACUGACACUGAGGCGCGAAAGCGUGGGGAGCGAACAGG